rnacentral:rRNA from 1 species
AGUGAACGCUGGCGGUAGGCCUAACACAUGCGAGUCGAACGGCAGCACAGUAAGAGCUUGCUCUUACGGGUGGCGAGUGGCGGACGGGUGAGGAAUACAUCGGAAUCUACUUUUUCGUGGGGGAUAACGUAGGGAAACUUACGCUAAUACCGCAUACGACCUACGGGUGAAAGCAGGGGAUCUUCGGACCUUGCGCGAUUGAAUGAGCCGAUGUCGGAUUAGCUAGUUGGCGGGGUAAAGGCCCACCAAGGCGACGAUCCGUAGCUGGUCUGAGAGGAUGAUCAGCCACACUGGAGCUGGGACACGGUCCAGACUCCUACGGGAGGCAGCAGUGGGGAAUAUUGGACAAUGGGCGCAAGCCUGAUCCAGCCAUACCGCGUGGGUGAAGAAGGCCUUCGGGUUGUAAAGCCCUUUUGUAGGGAAAGAAAAGCAGCAGGUUAAUACCCCGCUGUUCUGACGGUACCCAAAGAAUAAGCACCGGCUAACUUCGUG